rnacentral:tRNA from 1 species
ACCUACUUGACUCAAUGGUUAGAAUAUCACUUUCAUACGAUGAGUCGUUGGAUCAAAUCCAAUAGUAGGUA